rnacentral:rRNA from 1 species
CUAACACACGCAAGUCGAGCGGGAAUUAUACAAAUGAAACUUCGGUCGAGUGAGUAUAAUGAGAGCGGCGAACGGGUGAGUAACGCGUGAACAACCUGCCCUGUGGAAAGGGAUAGCCCCGGGAAACCGGGAUUAAUACCAUAUAAAACUAAUUUAUCGCAUGAUAGAGUAGUCAAAACUCAGGUGCCAUGGGAGGGGUUCGCGUCCUAUUAGCUAGUUGGUAAGGUAACGGCUUACCAAGGCAACGAUGGGUAGCCGGUCUGAGAGGAUGAACGGCCACACUGGAACUGAGACACGGUCCAGACUCCUACGGGAGGCAGCAGUGGGGAAUAUUGCGCAAUGGGGGAAACCCUGACGCAGCAACGCCGCGUGAGUGAUGAAGGUUUUCGGAUUGUAAAACUCUGUCUUUGGGGAAGAAAAAAAUGACGGUACCCAAGGAGGAAGCCCCGGCUAACUACGUGCCAGCCGCCGCCGUAACAC